GAAGAAGUGACUAAAGAAGAGAG
rnacentral:piRNA from 1 species